rnacentral:lncRNA from 1 species
CUCCUUUUUACCAAGAUCGAUAGAUUCUAUCUAGAUGCAUCCUACUCCAAAAAGUGAAUCUGAACCUACUGUAGCCAACAUACACAGCAAGGACACGAGUGGCUAGGGACCAAGAGAACGUGCAGUCAAACUCAGUAGCCUCACUGUGAAUAAUCGAUGAUACCGCAAGUCAAAGGACCACUCACACCACUACAGCAUCGAGAAGAUCACUAACGAGUGAGUAGACAUCCAAGUGAUUUCUCAUGUUGGUCAUGCUCAAUGUAAGUUAUUCACUAACAACCAUCUGUACUCUCACCCCAGUGUCCUUAUACCACAGACUCGAGAUUCAUCUAUCGAAAAGGAAGGUGAUCCAUGCAUCGAUCUCAAAUGGAUUGAUCACUAUCCACCGUGACAAUCCUUCGAUCAGGAGCAUUUAAAAAUUAACCACUAAUAAUGUAUGUCUCAAAUUCUCAACACCUUGAGAAUAUACAAAAUCAUCUUUGUUAAUUUCUAAGAUAAAUCAUAGACAUGUA